AGGAGAGCCGAAACAAGAGGAAAGCACAAAUAAACUGGGGCCAGGCAGGGUCUGGGGCCGUGGGAUGAGGGGUUUAGGGACACACGGGUGCCAUGUCCCAGCGUGAGGGCUGUUUGUGGGCAGAGCAGUCAGCGGGACAAGGGGCCUCUGGUGUGUUUUCACCUGCUGCAACCUCAGCCUUUGCUGCCUUGCUGAAACUUCUGCUUUUGGAUCUUCAGAGAAAUCUUUGGAGUGCACUCUGCAGUGGGAGAAGUGAGAGAAUCUGAGCGACAUCCUGCAAGACUGGAGAUGGAGAGGAAGAAGUUUGAGCCUUCUCAGUGAACUUAAGCUUUCCUGCCACAGGGGAGCUGGUGGAAAAAGUCCAGAAAAGAUUCCUCCAGGUGUGAAGUCUGAUGUCAGUCAGCUUCAGAGAAACAUCACCAGCUGAGCUGAGGAUCUGCAAGCAGCUCUCAGAAGUGGGGAAAAUGGACAACCCUGCUGGUAUCUUGUGAGCCCUUGUCACAGAACAGAGCUUGAACAAUUUCGAUUAAAGCAGUAUGUUCGAGACUGUCAUUAGACCUGCAUUAAAUUACAUAUCUGGAAUGUUAAAAAUAAAGAGUACUGAAGCUUAUUCACAGCUGCCUGUGGUAAAGUAUGUAGUCAAGGUUUUUAUUAUCUUUGAAGUUCUUAUUUUUCUCUUUUCUAAAACUUAUUGUUUCAUCAAACAAAUACCUAGCACAUUUAAGAACAGUGUGAGCACACGAGCAGAAUUGCUGGAGCUGGAUAAAGCAUUAGCGUGUUUCCAUUCUGUGCUCACUUGUAUUGUUUAGUACUAACAAUGGUAAUUUAUCAAUUAUACAGGAGGGAACAAAGCCCUCCACUGUCUCACAGCUCCAAACGUACCUGGUGCAAGGCCCAAAGCUGGAGAUCCUUCCAGACCUUGGGAGGCACCAUUUACCAUGAGCAUUUGCAGGGCCAGCAUUUGCCUUGUCCCCUUGCAGUGACCCCAUGGAGGUUGCUCAGUACUCAGCUCCAAGACUUCCGUGGCUUUUUUCCUAAAUCAGGAAAAUUAAAACCUUUUUUCUUUCUGACCUGGGGACCUUGAUAAUGACAUACCACAGCCUGUUCUUGUCUAGUUGGUGAGACCGUCCAGUCCCUCUUGUCAUGUUAUUUGUGGUGGCUUUAGAGACUUUCACACCGAUCUGAACGAUAAACCCCAAACUUUUGGAUACUGCUCAGCCAGGACAAACCCCAAAACAUGGUGUGUUUGACAAUUAAUUGUCUAUACAGCAGCUUUGUUAUGCACUGCUGAGAUGCACAAAAUCAUCUAUAAAAGGAUCAGACUGGCUACUUUGAUCUGAUUCUAUAAAGUGCUUUGUGAUCAUAAUGUGAAUAUAACAGCACAAGUAAAAAUAUCUCUGUUUUAUUAAGAGUUUCAAUUAAAGUGUUUAAUACACAGAUUUUAUCGUGAGAGAGGCAUCACAAAGACUGAGUACAACAUAAUGGCAAGCCAGGUAUUGUUAUGAUUAUCAUUAUUAUUAUUUAUAUAUGAUCACUGAAGUACUAAGUGAAAACUGGGAAAUGGAGUUCCUGAGCCCCAAAGAGCUCACAGUAACAGCUGUUUUUGGAGAAUGCAACAAUAGCAGACCAGCUCUGCUUCAUGGAGCAAUUAAUGGUGCAUACAGCCCAGUCUGGAAGUUCCUGGUCCUGAAUGGGUUUUCCCAUUUUCAAAGACCAAAGAAGGUAACAUUUCAGUUGGAUCCUGCCUUUUUUAUUCUGGUGCCUCUUACUCUUCCCACUGCCUCUUUUCUCUGCCUGUUGGUGUGAAGGGCACCCCUGCACUUUAGAACUGUGAUGUGUCUGUUUAUCCAGCAAAGCAGCUGGAAACUCCUCAGCCAAGUGGUAUUUGCCUUUGCAAGGGAAAGAUAUUCUGCCUUCCUCACUUGUCCUUCCCAUCAGAGAUUUUCAAGUGUCUUUGGCAUCCUAAAAGCUAAAGUGGAGCUUUCUAUUGAGAUUUAAACCGAGUGUAAAUCUUUCAAAAGCAGAAAGCCCAAGGGGGGCUGUAUCAUCAGAGCAGUCAAUGAGCAGAGCAGGGGCAGGGCUGGCCCAAACCCAUGGUCCUUACACCAAAGAGCUGUGACCUCAUGUAACACACAGAGCUCUCUUUGGCUUUGGCUGUUCCCUAAUCCUGACCCCUGACCAACACCUGAUGGCAACAAGAAAGUUUUUCUUCAUCCUUAUCUUGGCCAUCAUUCCCUGGAAGAUUCCAGAUGCUGAGCUCAACACCCUAAAAAAAGAAGCUGGGGAGUUGUCCACUAGGAUUUAUAAAGAUGGGAUGCUUGGAAGUUAAAUCUUCCAACCACUCUAGUGCACCACAGUGUAAGACAAAGAGCAGGAGAUAAAUUUUCCUGCCUUUGAAAUUCCUGUUCAUGUCACUCUCUGAGCUAAUUUUUACCAUUUUGACUCUGGUGAGAAGAGCUAUUCCAACGUGAGCCUCCUGCACUGCAGUGCAGGGAUGAAGCUAAGGAUGAGAAAUUGGAGCACUGUCAGGAUUACACCCAGGUCAGAUUUUUCAUUCUGCUAAAAGUUGCUUUUUUGACAUGGGAAUCAGGAAAAUACAUUGAUGCAACAUGUUGAAAAGGACCAAAAGGUUGUUAUUUGCUCUCACCAAUACAGAGAGACACAACCCUCCUGUAAAGGGAAAAUAUUUUCCAGUGAAAACACAAGCUUUGACACUGAGUGCAAAAUAAUGGGAGGGCCCAAGAGGGGCUUUUGUGGAGCUCCUCAGGGAGAGGGGGCUUCCCAUGGGCUUUUUUGCUCCUGUCUGUAGGGUGAGCUCACAAAUGUUUGAGUAGAGAAGGCUGCAGGCUUCCAAAUUAAAAAUAAUAUAUAUAUAUAUAUAUAAAAGGGAUUGGCUAUUUUUCUUUCUCAUGGAUGAGGUUAUAAGGUUAAUAAAAGAGUUAAUCCCAGCCUGCUCUGCACAAGGGAACAGCUCACAUUUGUGAGACUUCAAAAGGCUUUGGAGUGUCUGUGUAUGGAUGUUGUUAUUUCCUGUCAGGGCUAUCCCAAGAAGAUGGGGGCUGGGAGCUGAUUUUUGGAAGAAGAGUUUGGCCUUUAACUAAAUCAGCUGGAGUGAAAACAAAAAGGUUAGUACAAAAUAAUUUUGAGAGUGAACUCCAAUUUAAUAAAAUUCUGGGUAUUUGUUUCUUUUUUUUUUUCCCCCCGUAAGAAUCUAAAAUUAAAACUUACUACAGAGCAGUGGAGGCUGACCAGAGCAUUUCAACCAGAUGGCCCAGAGAAUCUGAUUGGGUUUGUUUUUGUGUUUUUUUUUUUAAAUCAUUACAUGACUUUAAUUUUUAAAUAUGUUAAUUGUUUCAAUUAAAAAAAAAAAAAAGUAAAUUUAGGAAAUAUUCAGCAAAUUGAAACAAAAGAAGUAUAGUAGUGAGAAAUUAUCAUUUUAGUGAAUGGUUUGGUGUAAACACAGAAGACCUGGAGAGCAUUCUGCCUGCCAGUCUUGUACUGAGCCAAGGGAAACGUGGCCCAAGCUCUCCUGCUGACAAACCCCUUGGCAGGGGUGCCGCUGCCCUGUUUCAGAAGUGCGGGUUUUGGCGCUGGCAGUUUCCAGGGAUUUGCUCCGCCUGCUCCACGGUGCUGCUGGGCGGGCAGAGACAGAGCCAUGGCAGGGAGGGCUGGUCACAGAACAGGUUCCUCUGCUGUGGUGCACUUGGGGCAGGCAGGACACACCUGAGCUCCGGGCCUGUGGCUGCGCAGGAGCGCUGGCACUGCCCUGCUCCCUGUCCCUGAUGCAGCACCGGGCAGUGAUUUACAGGGAGAGCUGGGUGUCCAUUUGCUUCCCAGCACUGAGGGAAUGAUUACUGCACAGCAUAGAAAAUUACAUCAGGCCUUGUCAGGCUUUUCUAGAGAAAUAAAUUCCACAGCCUGGGUUCCUUAUACCCUUCCCUGGCUUGGUGCCUCCCUGCACAGCUGAGGGUCCAUGCUCAGACACAGAGUAAAUGUUACAGUCGAUAUCCCUCAGCAGAGAAACUGCACUGCAAUUCCUUUUUUUCUACUUUUCUUCCUCUUGCACGAGGCUCCUGUGCUACCAGCUAACCAUUUCCUAUAAGAAAAUGGCAUUGUGUUAAAGUUAUAUAGUGUAUCAUAUUAAAUUUUAUAACAGUGCUUUGUGUUUUGAAAAGACUUUGGGGGGAAACAGCAUCAAUCAGGGAACCACAUUUGAUAGACUUGGAAGGGGCCUCCUGGGUCAUUUUGUCCAAGACCUCUAUGAAGCAGGAAAGCUUCUGCAAAAUACCUUUCCCAUAAAUGUAUCUAACCUUUCCUUAAAGACACUGAGUGAUUGUGCCAUAAAUACCUCAAGCAGCUAAACCAGUCUGAUUGACCUUACGAUCAGAAAGUGUCUCCUAAUACCGUACAGAAGGUACAAUUUUCCAUUCUUCCAGCUGCAGCUAAGCAAGAAAAAAGGGCAAAUACACAGUAAUGGCCAACAAUACAGACUGUGCAAACAGUUUUACUUUCACUUUACUGCCAUCACCUACCAUAAAUCUGGAUGUACCCACUGAUACUUGGUUUCCCAGUGUAGUGUCUGUGAUCCUUGCAGUAUCCAUCUCACUUUAACUUUUGGAGAGCCACCAUUACAGAGUGGAGAAAUAAGGAAGAUGGACGAGCAGCACUUUCUGAUUCAGGAAGCCAUUUGAAACCCGAUGCUGUGUAGUUAAAGUAUUUAUUUCUAUUCACUAUUUAUUAGAAUUUGUGAGGUGUUUCUUGUCAGGACCAUGGGAGUAGGGGAAGCACAGGGCUUUCUAUGGUCUGUCAGAGUGUCAAAGAACAAUUUUUAUUCUCCUUCAGUAAUUGUGUACAUUGAAAAAUAAAUGCCUGGUAGUUUGGCUGUUUGUUGCUGCAAUAGCAGUGCCUUGUGUGCUGCUAUGCCUUCUUUUUCUCAGUGAGUAUUAGAAGUGUCAUUUUGGGUAGAUGUGUUAUUAAAUCACAGACACACUCAUUGCUGAGAGCUUCCUGAGCUGCACAUAAACUACCUUUGGCUUGGAUUUUUUUGUCUUUUUUGUUGGUUUUUUUUUUUUUUUUUUUUUUGCAAGCACCAAAGGAAGGUGGCAGAGCUGAAGGCCAGUUGUUCCAGCACCUCUUUUCAUCAGGUGUCCCCCAGUUGUACUUCUCCCACACACAGGACUGCUGCAAAACGG